rnacentral:rRNA from 2 species
GAGUAAUGUCUGGGAAACUGCCUGAUGGAGGGGGAUAACUACUGGAAACGGUGGCUAAUACCGCAUAACGUCGCAAGACCAAAGAGGGGGACCUUCGGGCCUCUUGCCAUCAGAUGUGCCCAGAUGGGAUUAGCUUGUUGGUGAGGUAACGGCUCACCAAGGCGACGAUCCCUAGCUGGUCUGAGAGGAUGACCAGCCACACUGGAACUGAGACACGGUCCAGACUCCUACGGGAGGCAGCAGUGGGGAAUAUUGCACAAUGGGCGCAAGCCUGAUGCAGCCAUGCCGCGUGUAUGAAGAAGGCCUUCGGGUUGUAAAGUACUUUCAGCGGGGAGGAAGGUGUUGUGGUUAAUAACCACAGCAAUUGACGUUACCCGCAGAAGAAGCACCGGCUAACUCCGUGCCAGCAGCCGCGGUAAUACGGAGGGUGCAAGCGUUAAUCGGAAUUACUGGGCGUAAAGCGCACGCAGGCGGUCUGUCAAGUCGGAUGUGAAAUCCCCGGGCUCAACCUGGGAACUGCAUUCGAAACUGGCAGGCUUGAGUCUUGUAGAGGGGGGUAGAAUUCCAGGUGUAGCGGUGAAAUGCGUAGAGAUCUGGAGGAAUACCGGUGGCGAAGGCGGCCCCCUGGACAAAGACUGACGCUCAGGUGCGAAAGCGUGGGGAGCAAACAGGAUUAGAUACCCUGGUAGUCCACGCCGUAAACGAUGUCUACUUGGAGGUUGUGCCCUUGAGGCGUGGCUUCCGGAGCUAACGCGUUAAGUAGACCGCCUGGGGAGUACGGCCGCAAGGUUAAAACUCAAAUGAAUUGACGGGGGCCCGCACAAGCGGUGGAGCAUGUGGUUUAAUUCGAUGCAACGCGAAGAACCUUACCUGGUCUUGACAUCCACGGAAGUUUUCAGAGAUGAGAAUGUGCCUUCGGGAACCGUGAGACA